CGGAGUCUCGCUCCGUCCCCCAGGCGGGAGUGCAGUGGCGCGAUCUCGGCUCACUGCAAGCUCCGCCUCCCGGGUUCACGCCAUCUUGCCACUAAACCUGAUUUACCAACAUAACCUGUUUCUGGCCAUGCUGUGAAUCUGCAUUCUUUACUGUGUCCUUGGGAUACUAGGAGGAACCAGAGGAGCAGAUCCUGCUAGGAGGCUAAGCAUGAAGAAGGAAUUCAAAGAAACCUUGUGGAGAACGAAGACACAGCAGGGAGUCUCUGAUCAAGUGCCACAUCUUUAGAGAAGCUUUUCCAAACAACCACUCUGGUAACCACCAAUCUACACUCUAUUUUCAUGAGAUCCAGUUUUAUAGCUCCCACAUGUAACUUUUCAGACAUGAAUUGGAAUAAGAUAAGGCCAACUUGCUCAACUACAUUCCUUACUAAAACAUAAUAACUAAAAGCUACAGUGUGCAUUUCAUGUUUCACAUGUUCUGUUGCAGUGCCAAGACUAGGUUUAAGCAAUUCAGCUGCACAGUUACCAACCACUUCUUCUUGGAAGAUUUACCUACAAUCUAACUGAUAUACUUAACAAAAUUAUAUUUUUAAUAUUGAUUGUACAAUUUUUUACUCCUUAAUUGUAUCUGACAGCUUCUUAUACUUUAAACUUGAUCAACAGUAAAUUGUGAAGAGAGUAACUAUACACCACAUGGCUUGACAAUAUCCAAACAUCAUUCUUGUUCUACAAAAGUUACAAAUGGU
rnacentral:lncRNA from 1 species